AACGAACGCUGGCGGCGUGCCUAACACAUGCAAGUCGAGCGAGAAAGGGGGAGCAAUCCCCGAGUAAAGCGGCAGACGGGUGAGUAACACGUGGGUAAUCUGCCCUCGGGCGGGGAAUAACAUCUCGAAAGAGGUGCUAAUACCGCAUAACAUCCAUGAGCCUGCGGGUUCGUGGAUCAAAGGUGGGGAUCUUAGGACCUACCACCCGAGGAGGAGCCCGCGCCUGAUUAGCUAGNGGUGGGGUAACGGCCUACCAAGGCGACAAUCAGUAGCCGGCCUGAGAGGGUGACGGCCACACUGGAACUGAGACACGGUCCAGACUCCUACGGGAGGCAGCAGUGAGGAAUUUUGCGCAAUGGGCGAAAGCCUGACGCAGCAACGCCGCGUGGACGAUGAAGGUCUUCGGAUCGUAAAGUCCUGUCGAGUGGGAAGACGAAUGCGGGAGCUAAUACCUCUCGCAUUAGACUGUACCACCAGAGGAA
rnacentral:rRNA from 1 species